rnacentral:lncRNA from 1 species
UCCAGAUCUCUUGGUACCUACCCCUAGAGGCAGGUUUUGCCCCUGCUGCAGGCUGUGGAAGUACAACACUGUGAAAAUAAUUGAUAGAGGCACAGACUGCAGAAAGGAAGGAGGAAGGCUGAAUUCCCCUCUGUUACAUGCAGAUUAGCUCUCUGCUUGCUAUCAAUAUACACAUCAGCUAGACAAAGUUCGGACAGCGCUCUUUUAAAGGUCUUCUGCUUCAGCUGUGAUCAGAAAGAAUAUAGGAAAGAAAACCAAGUAAGGUUGCAGUCCUAUAAAUCUUUCUGCACUGAAUUACACUGAAUGGUGCCCCACAGAAAGACCAAGGUU